GAUGAACGCUGGCGGCGUGCCUAAUACAUGCAAGUCGAGCGAACAGACGGGGAGCUUGCUCCUCUGACGUUAGCGGCGGACGGGUGAGUAACACGUGGAUAACCUACCUAUAAGACUGGGAUAACUUCGGGAAACCGGAGCUAAUACCGGAUAAUAUAUUGAACCGCAUGGUUCAAUAGUGAAAGACGGUUUUGCUGUCACUUAUAGAUGGAUCCGCGCCGCAUUAGCUAGUUGGUAAGGUAACGGCUUACCAAGGCAACGAUGCGUAGCCGACCUGAGAGGGUGAUCGGCCACACUGGAACUGAGACACGGUCCAGACUCCUACGGGAGGCAGCAGUAGGGAAUCUUCCGCAAUGGGCGAAAGCCUGACGGAGCAACGCCGAGUGAGUGAUGAAGGUCUUCGGAUCGUAAAACUCUGUUAUUAGGGAAGAACAAAUGUGUAAGUAACUAUGCACAUCUUGACGGUACCUAAUCAGAAAGCCACGGCUAACUACGUG
rnacentral:rRNA from 1 species